rnacentral:rRNA from 1 species
GGGUCAGUAGGUUGGUCGUGCCACCGGUACGUACUGGUCUCACUGAUUCCUCCUUCCUGAAGAACCGUAAUGCCAUUAAUUCGGUGUUGCGGGGAAACAGGACUGUUACUUUGAAAAAAUUAGGGUGUUUAAAGCAAGCUAACGCUUGAAUACAUUAGCAUGGAAUAAUGAAAUAGGACGAUCGAUCCUAUUUUGUUGGUUUCUAGGAUUGACGUA